ACCCCUUUCCAGACCUCAUUUAAGGGUUGACAGUGGAGGUAAGGGCUCCUCCUAGGAGAUCCCUGUAUACCUCAGGCCUUCUGGAGAACGACUAUAGGAAGCUAUCUAUGCAAUGCAAGGACUUUGUAGUGGGGGUACUGGACCUGUGCAGAGACACUGAAGAAGUAGAAGCAAUUCUGAAUGGAGAUGUGAACAUACAUCUGUGCCCUGAGCAUCAUCGGCCAAGUCUGAGCAGAAUUAAACUGGCGAUUAAGUACGAAGUCAAAAAGGCAGUUGACCUGCUGAUGUCUUUGGGACAGAAAGUCAGAUGGGGAUGAGUACAAACUCCCAAGAAAAGAAGAUGAUUCAGUAUUUCAAAUUGAAGGCAUUUUUAAAAUCUUCCAAUUUGAGCAUUUCCAUGAGUAGUGACCCAAGAUGCAUCUCUUCCAUGCAGUAUUCUUGUCACAUGCCUGUAGAUAUCCAUAUUUAAUAAUUUUUAACUAUCUACUUCAUGGUGAGGGGACUUACCCUACAAGAGAGUCUCUCCAUCAACUCUGGGAGUGAAACUCUGUGUUGGAGGUAUUAGAAUUGGAGUACUGUAUCAGCAUAGUCUUUCCUUGUCAUUUGGAAAACUAAUUCUCUCGAGAGAAGAGGUUAUAGCAUUUUAAAACUCUAUGCCCACUGUCAUUUGCUGUAUAGGUACCCAAGGGAAUUCGUUUUUUGAUAGCUUUUUGUUCUGGCAUGCUUUCAGAUGAAUAGGUAAAUAAGGAUUUCCAAGUGGUUCUGAUUCUGUAGAGAUAAGAAAAACCUGGAAUGCUGGAGGCUGGGACUUUCACUUCAUUUGCCUGUCAGAUAAAUAGACUUAUUUAUGCAUGUGAAAUGAGAAACUUGGCAUUAGCAACAAAUCUCUUCAUAAAACAUCCAGCAUAUUGGAAUAUGGAACUGGAGAUUCCUCAGAAACACCUCUGAACUCAUUACUCUUUAGGGAAAAAAAAAAAUGUUUAGCACAAAAAAGAGUACCUGCUCUUGAAUAAAGGAAGUGAAAUUGAAACUAAACUAUGGAGAAGUUUCAAUUAAAGAAUUUCUUUAAACGCUACAUUUUCUAGUUUAAUACCUCAAAAAUAGCACUUAAUUUUAAAAAACAUGGAUUGAAAAUAUAAGCGAGAACAAUAACAAUGAAAUCUUUCUCGGUUGCUAAAAGGAUUAUUAACUUUGUGUUUUUCACUCGGCACUGAAGAUUAUUUCUGUCAGUAGGAGAAUUGCAAUUGAAAUGGUCCUGGCAGCUUUAUUUCCACCAUUAUUUUUGUUUUCUAUUAGACUAAUUUGUUUUUAUUUGGCUUUAUUUUGUGUCUGUUUAAUAUUUUGUGUCUAGUCAAACCCAGUUUCCAUUUGCAUUGCUCAUUCUAAUGGGACUACGCUGCCUUUUCUGUAGCUGUGCACUGCAUAGGUGCUUUGGGCAGUUAUGCCAGCACUGGGCUGUCUGUCCUUCACUGCCUUAGCUUUACUGCUUGUCAAUUCUGCAAAGUGAGAUCCCAAUCCCAUUAAUGUGCUCGCUGAUUUAGCAGAGAGCAGAAAAUCUAUCCCAAAUUAGAUAACAAGCAAUGCCAUGCUUGUUUUUAUAUGGCAGACUGAGUUGCAUGAAAGGUGUGUGGUUGCAAACAGUAGCUAUGUUAAGGUUUAAAAUGCUAAAAAUCAGGAUUUGAGAUUAGGUAACUCGAGUUAAUCAGCAAGUGGAUCCAGAUAUUGAGUUUCCAUAACAUUGAGGAAUAUGUGAAUGUCUUGGGAUUUGAUGCAAGCGGGUAUUUCCCCACUCUCAAAUUGCUCUAAUAAGUUUUCUAAGCUAAGAAGGUCCACGUAAGAGGUUUUCCAAAAGGCAUAUUUUAUUACUAACACCAUAUUGACUACUUUUAUUGUAUCUCUUUUAAGUAACUGCGACUGAAGCUGCACAAUUAAUUUUUAUUUUGUUCUGAUAGUUCUAGGUCAUUUGGGCUCUGACUGCAAAUAAAAACCUUCUCCCUUUACUAUAAGGUUUAUACCUGUUUGACUCGAUACCAGAUCUAAAUAUACACUGAGGCAGUCACAAAAAAAAAAAAAAGUCAUAUGCAGGAUGAGUGAGAUCCUCAUGAAUAUUUGUGAUACCAUUAGACAGUCAAAUGAACCCCAAGGAGAGAGGAAAAGCUGCAGCAAUCCUCAGGGCAGGGACGUUGCCUUGCUUCAUGUUCUAUCUGCAGCAGCCCACAUAGAGUGAGUUGAUUUCCUAUGGUCAGAUCCCCUUGGUGUUCAUCUGCUGAAUUUUCUUUCACCCGAGUUGAGCUAGGGACUCCUGAAAUUAUUUUUUGCUCUUAGGUGGAGGAAUUAGGACUGGCUGAUGUGCUUACCCCUGUAAGGCUAUUCUGGUGCAAGUGGUUUUAAAAAAUGUGGCCUGUGGCCAUGGCUAGCAGUUAGCUGUAACUGAAGUGUGUCUCUCUGGCAAAGAGGACGCCAUCCCUUAGCAUGG